GCCCAAUCCCCUCCCGAGCGCCUCCUGCCCAAUCCCCUCCCGAUCUCCUCCUCUUCCAAUCCCCCAGUCGCUCGCGCCCGCCUCCCACCUCGAGCUCCGGCUUGACCCGCUGCCUCCCGUCCUCCCUCCUCCAAUCCACCUUCGUCUCUCCCCCAAUCCCCACUUCGUUUGUCUCUCCAAUCCCCCAAGCCCUUCAUCCUCCAAUCCCCUUCUCCUCCGUCACAACAUCUUCCCUUCUGGUCAUCUCUAUCGCUGGAGCAGAAAGAGAGAGGAGGAGGGCAGAAGCAGUGGCAUGGCUGGAGGAGGAAGAGUGGCUGGUCGCCACCAGGAGGCACUGCUGCCGCGCGUCGCUGGGAGCAGCCUAGCCCUCCGCUCCUCCACCUCCGUGUCUUCACCGAUGUCGCUGUCCUGCAGCCCAACGACCUGCCCUCCUCCACCUCUUCUUCAAAGGAGGCCUGCAACUUCUCUAUCACACGUAGGAUAGACUACAACUCUACAAUGGUGGCUUGCAGGGUAACAGGCCAGAGCAACGAUGCUGGUGCGACCUGAACACAACAGAUCUGGACAGUGACAGAUGGAGCUAUGGCGGACAGAGAUACAAAUACAAUGGUGUUGUCCCGUUGCCUGCUCAGCAGAACCUAACUCCACCACUCACUCUCUACCUGCUGCAGCCAAUGCCCUCUUGCUCAGAGAACUACAGAUAUCACAGGUUCUCCUCAUCGGCGAAUCUUGACGCAAGCAGUAGUACGCCAAGCCGACUAGACGUCAAUUUAUUAUCCAUGCGCUCGGUCACCACUAUAUACUAUGGUGGCUAUUGACAAGAUUAUGAGGCUUAUGGUUGUGUUUAUGCACAAUCUCAAGACCCUAAUUACCAGCAACCAGAAGCAGCGCAACAGCCGCUGCAACAGAAGGGAAGAAACAGAGGGAAAGCUUAAAGGCAUUUUAUUAAGGAAAAUUUGCAUGCUCUAAUGCACGAUGAGGGUUUUUAAUUAAUUUCGUUUGCUUCAUCUGCUCCUAUAUUUUAAGCAUCUACAUAUCCAUGAACAUGCCCUCCUAAUUUUCACCGACGAUGUCAAAUCUAUGAUCUUCUAUUGCAAGAAGGUAAGAUAUGACAUAUGAUUAUAUGUACAUGUUCUGCUACUCAAUUUUAUUUUGGCAUCUAUACAUGAUAAGGCCUAUGCCCCUUUUAUAAGAAUAAACUUAAAAUAUGUUCUCAUCCAUAACUAAUCAGGUGCUAUAUUGUUCUUCAAGUCUGAUUGUACAUUUUCCUUGCUGCAUGUACUGUGUCUGCUGCAAACUAUGUAUUUUCGAUGCUUAUUCUUUAUAUGACAUUGCCACCUCGCGCCGCACCCCAUCUCUCACACGAUCCGCUCCCUCUCCACUCCAGAUCGUGGUAGAGCCACCGCCGCAGAUUGAUACGGGGGAUUGAGCACAAGAGUGGCCUCGAGCCGCCAGCGAGCUCGCCCUCAUGGGCACUGCCGGGAGACCGAGGCGGACGGUCUACGCGGCCUCCGGCACCAUCGGGAGAUUGGGGAGGAUGAGGCUGCCGCUGCCGUGCACAUGGUGGGGAGGCCGCCGUGAACAAGGACCACGGCGAGGCGCACAUCGACGAGCGCAGGGUGGGCGCCGCCAGGCCGUCGACGAGUGCCCUCGUGCUCCCACCACCACCGGCGGAGGGAAGGCUCCGCGAGCGCGUCUCCAACGAGCAUGAGCGGAGGAAGCUGGCCGGACCUUAUCUCAUCAACCCUGCAGCGUCGCAUCGCAAGGAGGAGCACAUGUGGAUGCUGCUAUGUCGUCGUCGUCGGUGGGAGGAGCGGAAGGCCGCAACUAGCUUCUCUCCCUCCGACACCGCAUCCGCCCGUGCAGGAAUCAGGCACGAACAUGGGGGCACCUCCAAGGAGUCUGCUCUGUUCUGAAUGACAGCCAGGAAAGCAACUUCCCAGCCUCCUCCACAUCCUUUUCCCUUGCCUUCAGAGGAACUGAUGCAACGAUGACCUCGUGCUCAACUUUGGACUCAGCUAGAGAGCGGGAGUCCCUUCUCCUUGAUCCAUGAGUAGGUCCAAAUGAUUAUGGCUUGAUCUUGAGAUCAGCUCCGAACUAUGUGGAAGAGUUAUCACAUCUCCUGAAAGUGACGAAUGGCAAAAAAAUUGUUCGUUCGCAGCAUUAUUUAAGAGAAAUGGUUACAAGUGAAGCUGGAUACGACUAGAUGUGUAUCUGGAAUUCUAGAUCCGUCCAACAUGAAAAUCUUUUAGAUAUGUAGUUUCCAAGAUCACAUCCGAUAAGAAAAGUCAGUUCCACCUUGCAAUCUUGAGAUCAGGCUCCUCACCGUCAUCAUUGAUUCUUUAUUUUUGCAAACUUCAUUUCUGGUGGAGAGAUUGGACACACAAGUUCUUGAACCUCAUAGUCGUUAUCUUUCUAAAAAAUUGUUUCUAUAUUUUCCGAGGUAAGUUCUGACUUAUAUGCUUGCUUGUAUUGCUGAAUGAAACAGUGACAAUGAAACAUAUGUAUGGUUUGAUGUGUGAAUUCAUAUGACAGUUGUACUUUAUUUCUCUCUUUUGGUAAUCUAAAUAUUCCCUUCUAGCAUGCCAUGUACCUGAAUUUAUCAUUUUAUUCUAGGCUACAUGCACAAUUUCAUAAGCAAUUGAUGAUGCAGUGUUGGAAUUAAAACUUAUGAGUUGCGUACCCUUCUGUAACCACGAUGGAGAUUUAUUAGCUGUUGAGCUGGAUACUUUCUAAAAUUAAGGAGGUGAAAUGAAGCUUUUAUGGAAAAAAAGGUGUUGUGGUUUAUAUGAAUUGCAAGCAUUGCUAGAGUUGAUGACUUGCAAAAGCCUAUUGAGAAGCCAAUGGACGUUAAUUGGGAAAGCUAUGCAAGAUGUGCCGUUUAUGCCUUGCAAAAUAGUGGAUAUGAUCUCAGAUAGGUAUCUACAUUUCAUCCAUGAAACAGUACAGUCCACCCAGCCUUCGAAAAACUUUAGAAGCAUGGAAUUGUUACAGGGUUUGGGUGAUCUGGCCAUUUGGUCCUUCUGCAACUAAAUGGGCUAAAUGCCCAGAAGGCAUCAAAAUUAUUUCCUCUCAUCUUGAGUUUCCCCAUAGCGAGGCUCGGAUUCUGAUGUUAGCAUGGAAAAUGGAAAAUGGGCUGUAAAGCAAGGUUAUUUACUCUGGUGUGCAUUAUUUUUAAACUGUCAAAAAUGUUUAUCUCUAUAAUAUCAUAGUCAUUUUGAAGUUUUACUGGCAUGAAAGCUCUGCGAGCUGAUAGUAUUAGUAAGCUGAAGAAGUCAUUCCCUAAACUAACCCAAGAAGUGAGUAGUCCAUAAGUAUGUAAUUAGUAGUUAAUUAUAUUUGAAAGGUUUGUAUUUGUCAAGGGUGAAAUAACAGCUAAAUGUUUGUGUUUUUGUUGUUUUUGGUGUUGUACACAUUAGUAAGAGAUGUUUAGCGUAUAUUUUAUUCAUAUAGAUUUUGACUCCUAACAGAAUCUGGGCUACUGUCUGCUCCAGAUUGAAUAUGUGAUUUGAAUGUUCCUUAAUCUAUCUGCAGUAAAUGUCGUUUGAUAUUGAUAUGAAGAGGUUGAGCUGCGAGCUUUUCUUUUUCUUCUAGAUGCUUACAUCCAUUGGUGAUUUGGUAGACAAUUCCUAAAAUUUGUAGUUCACACUCAAUGUUUUUACUUGUGGCAAGAUCGUUUUGUGGAAGUUGCUGCAGCGAAACUUUUUCCUAGAACUAUAUUUCGUAAUAUUAGCUUUACCAUUAAUUUGUUCUCAUGAUAUUCAUUCAAUUAGAUGAUUUAGAAUUAGUGGUACUUACUUUUGCAGCAUACUCAGAACUAAGCACGAGGUGUACUGGAGAUCGGAGACAAGAUUGUUUCGAUGUAGGGUUAGUGGUUUGGCGCCGUUGGCCGUCCGAUAUUUCUGUUUGCUAUCGACCCCUUUCUUUCUGUGGCUAUGACUCACGUACUAUUUUACUAAAUAGGAUGACAUAAGGUAAGGCACUCAUAUUAGAUUUUGAGUAGAAAGACUUAAUCUGCUGCGCUUUUUACACCUAAAAUUCUCUUCAGUUGGUGCAUUUUCUAGACCAUUUUGUAUACCAGCAGAUUUUGGUGUCUCUGAUUGUACCAAUAGUUUCUGUAGAUAAAUUAUGUUCCUCUAUGUAAAAACUAUCUUCAAGAAGUAGUAUAUAUCAGAUGAUGUAUGCUGUUUCAGUGUUCUUCUUGAAUAACAAAUUCUGGCUUUUCUGGAUGUAGUAAAGAUUCCAACACUAUUUGCUAAGUAUUUUCAAUAACGAUGUUUUAUGGUGGAUAACCAAUUGUUGGUUUCCUGUACACUUAAGCCAACAAACACAAAAUCAACAUAUUUCCUCCUUUUCUAAUCGCGAUAACACAAUUUUGUAAGGAUUUUUUUGAAUCUGCUCAUCACUUUUUUUCCCAUGAUAUGGGGACUACAUACAUUGCUCUGUUUGAGAUAUUAGCUACCAAUAGGUAUCUCUUGUUGUACUCAAAAUAUCAAUAAAUAAAUGAGACAUGCAUGGUUUGUCUUGGCAGUAUACCUUUUUUCUCUUGCCCUUUGGUCAUGUGAGCCAGGUGAACUGUUACGAAUUUUGAUUUCUACAUCCAGUCUAAGCAGUGGUGGAGCUUAGUUGAAACAAAACCGGGCUAUGGCCCGCCCAACUUUGGAGAUUUUCUUCAUACAUAUUGGUAAAUUUAGCCCAAUAACAACCCAUAUUACUCUCCUUAAGCCUAAUUGCCCGCCUAGGUUUUCCUGGCAAGCUCCGCUACCGAGUCCAAGAACCAUCUUGAUUUUAACCAGGUUUGGACUACUGGCAUUUUGUGAAGUCGGUUUUAUCCUUAGAAUAAAAUGGUACUGCUUCUGGAAAUGUGAAAGUGUUGAGGAGCCAUGUCUUGUUUGUUUGCAGUUCUAUAAAUAGCGAGGGAUCAAGCAACCAUUUCGACCUCGAGGUGAACAUUCCGAAUGAGAUGGACCCUGAUAUUGGUGUGAAAGGGAGACAUGGGAGAUUCGAUGGCAGACCUUAGCAGUUGUGGCUUAAUGUGAUCGGACCUGUUCCCUUCAGAUUUGCAUAUGAUUUUGUUAUAGAGCCUUUUUCUAACAUCAUGUUAUUCUGGGUUUGAGUGUAAGAAAUACAAAUGGUAUUUUCCUUUUCCUCGGUCUUUCCAGAAUUUUCUCAUUCUUAUGGAUCAUCAGUUCAUUGUUGUGGCUUAGUUUUCUAGCUUAGUGCUAUCUAAUUGGUAGGCUAUAUAUGAUAUGUGUGGGUCCUGAAAACUCACAAGAGCUGUAAAUUCUUUUAUGUACUAACUGAUAAGUUGGAAUAGUAAUUGUUCUGUGUGCAUCAUGAAA